CACCAGUAGUGAAGUAUGUUAUUUAAUUCGAUGAUCCACGAAAAACCUUACCACAACUUGAAUAUCUAUCAAUAGAUACAGGAGUUGCACGGCUGUUUUCAGUUAAUGUUGUGAAACUGUGGUUUUUCCAUGAAAUUAACGGAAUCCUUUGCUUUAUUUAUAGAAUGUAUUAUAAAGCAGUCUUUCUUUAGAUCGAAAAGAUAGCAAGGAAAAAGACAAGUCAUCAUGGCCCUUAUGUUGUGGGCUAUAGACGUGCCACGUAAUCCUUAACAAAGAGAUGCGAAAAUGCGAAUUUUAGCUAAUCUCAAAAAAGAGGAUAUAAAUUAUACAAGGAUUGUAGUCUGAAACUCGACUAUAU
rnacentral:ncRNA from 1 species